GCCGAGGUGGCGGAAUGGUAUACGCGGACGGCUCAAACCCGUCUGCCCGCAAGGGCGUAGGGGUUCGACUCCCCUCCUCGGCACCC
rnacentral:tRNA from 1 species